rnacentral:misc_RNA from 1 species
GAUGAAGAACGUAGCGAAAUGCGAUAAGUAAUGUGAAUUGCAGAAUUCAGUGAAUCAUCGAAUCUUUGAACGCACCUUGCGCUCUUUGGUAUUCCGAAGAGCAUGCCUGUUUGAGUGUCAUGAAAAUAUCAACCUUGACUUGGGUUUUGUGCUCUAGUCUCGGCUUGGAAUUGGGUGCUUGCCGCUUUUACGAGCGGCUCACCUUAAAUGUAUUAGCUGGAUCUGUCUUUGCGACUUGGUUUGACUUGGCGUAAUAAGUAUUUCGCUAAGGACAUUCUUCGGAGUGGCCUCGUUUCUAGGACGCUUGUCCGCUUUCCAAUACAAGUUCCACCUCGUGGACAUGACUUUUUAUUAUCUGGCCUCAAAUCAGGUAGGACUACCCGCUGAACUUAAGCAUAUCAAAGCGGAGGA